AGGAACCUGUAAUGGUGGCAGAAACAAUGGACACUAGCGGUUUGUCGUUGGUGCCUCAUGUGGGGGAAGGUUUGGAAUCGGGAGUGCAGUUGGGUACGGUGGCUGGAGAUAAUGUCGUUCCCUAAGUUUCUAUCCCUCCGUUAAACGAUAUAGCGGGUUUACCAUCAGAUUGGGUUCUAAAUAAAGUUAACGGAUUUUAGUAAAUCCUGAGGCUUUCGUAUGGAGAACAGGGAGAAUAUGAAGAUCAAUUCAAAGCUCUACUCAUUGCGAUUGAGGCGAGUCACACGCUUGAAACCGAAUCACAUUUUAAGAAAAGCAGGGAGUUAAAGCGUCUUCUAUGUUCAAUCAACUACGAUGCAAAGGGAGGUAACUCAAGUCGAGGGAAGAAUAAAGGGAGGGCAUCGUGAAGAUGAUCUCGUUGUGGGAUGUACGGGUAGAGGAUUAGUUUUAUGGAAACAAGGGGCUGGGGUUGGGGAGGUGUUACAUUA